GGGUUCUGAGAGGAAGGUCCCCCACAUUGGAACUGAGACACGGUCCAAACUCCUACGGGAGGCAGCAGUGAGGAAUAUUGGUCAAUGGACGAGAGUCUGAACCAGCCAAGUAGCGUGCAGGAAGACGGCCCUAUGGGUUGUAAACUGCUUUUAUAAGGGAAUAAAGUGAGAGUCGUGACUCUUUUUGCAUGUACCUUAUGAAUAAGGACCGGCUAAUUCCGUGCCAGCAGCCGCGGUAAUACGGAAGGUCCGGGCGUUAUCCGGAUUUAUUGGGUUUAAAGGGAGCGUAGGCCGGAGAUUAAGCGUGUUGUGAAAUGUAGACGCUCAACGUCUGCACUGCAGCGCGAACUGGUUUCCUUGAGUACGCACAAAGUGGGCGGAAUUCGUGGUGUAGCGGUGAAAUGCUUAGAUAUCACGAAGAACUCCGAUUGCGAAGGCAGCUCACUGGAGCGCAACUGACGCUGAAGCUCGAAAGUGCGGGUAUCGAACAGGAUUAGAUACCCUGGUAGUCCGCACGGUAAACGAUGGAUGCCCGCUGUUGGUCUGAAUAGGUCAGCGGCCAAGCGAAAGCAUUAAGCAUCCCACCUGGGGAGUACGCCGGCAACGGUGAAACUCAAAGGAAUUGACGGGGGCCCGCACAAGCGGAGGAACAUGUGGUUUAAUUCGAUGAUACGCGAGGAACCUUACCCGGGCUUGAAUUGCAGAGGAAGGAUUUGGAGACAAUGACGCCCUUCGGGGCCUCUGUGAAGGUGCUGCAUGGUUGUCGUCAGCUCGUGCCGUGAGGUGUCGGCUUAAGUGCCAUAACGAGCGCAACCCCUCUCCUUAGUUGCCAUCAGGUUAAGCUGGGCACUCUGGGGACACUGCCACCGUAAGGUGUGAGGAAGGUGGGGAUGACGUCAAAUCAGCACGGCCCUUACGUCCGGGGCUACACACGUGUUACAAUGGCAGGUACAGAGAGACGGUUGUACGUAAGUACGAUCAAAUCCUUAAAGCCUGUCUCAGUUCGGACUGGGGUCUGCAACCCGACCCCACGAAGCUGGAUUCGCUAGUAAUCGCGCAUCAGCCAUGGCGCGGUGAAUACGUUCCCGGGCCUUGUACACACCGCCCGUCAAGCCAUGAAAGCCGGGGGCGCCUAAAGUCCGUGACCGUAAGGAGCGGCCUAGGGCGAAACUGGUAAUUGGGGCUAAGUCGAAACAAGGUA
rnacentral:rRNA from 1 species